UUCCAGACUCCUACGGGAGGCAGCAGUGGGGGAUAUUGCACAAUGGGGGAAACCCUGAUGCAGCGACGCCGCGUGGGUGAAGAAGCGCCUCGGCGCGUAAAGCCCUGUCAGCAGGGAAGAAAAUGACGGUACCUGAAGAAGAAGCCCCGGCUAACUACGUGCCAGCAGCCGCGGUAAUACGUAGGGGGCAAGCGUUAUCCGGAUUUACUGGGUGUAAAGGGGGCGCAGACGGCGAUGCAAGCCAGGAGUGAAAGCCCGGGGCCCAACCCCGGGACUGCUCUUGGAACUGUGUGGCUGGAGUGCAGGAGGGGCAGGCGGAAUUCCUUGUGUAGCGGUGAAAUGCGUAGAUAUAAGGAAGAACACCAGUGGCGAAGGCGGAUUACUGGACGAUAACUGACGGUGAGGCGCGAAAGCGUGGGGAGCAAACAGGAUUAGAUACCCCGGUAA
rnacentral:rRNA from 1 species